rnacentral:rRNA from 1 species
UAGGGAAUAUUGGACAAUGGGUGAGAGCCUGAUCCAGCCAUGCCGCGUGCAGGAAGAAGGCGUUAUGCGUUGUAAACUGCUUUUGCCAGGGGAUAAAAAGACCGUGCGCGGUUAAUUGAAGGUACCUGGUGAAUAAACCACGGCUAACUACGUGCCAGCAGCCGCGGUAAUACGUAGGUGGCAAGCGUUGUCCGGAUUUAUUGGGUUUAAAGGGUGCGUAGGUGGCCCUGUAAGUCAGUGGUGAAAUAUCUCAGCUUAACUGAGAGGGUGCCAUUGAUACUGCAGGGCUUGAGUACAGAUGAGGUAGGCGGAAUUGACGGUGUAGCGGUGAAAUGCAUAGAUAUCGUCAAGAACACCGAUAGCGAAGGCAGCUUACCAAGCUGUAACUGACACUGAGGCACGAAAGUGUGGGGAUCAAACAGGAUUAGAUACCCAGGUAGUCCCUGAGCGGGCUGGCAAGGCGCAU